rnacentral:rRNA from 1 species
GAUGAACGCUGGCGGCGUGCCUAAUACAUGCAAGUCGAGCGAACAGACGAGGAGCUUGCUCCUCUGACGUUAGCGGCGGACGGGUGAGUAACACGUGGAUAACCUACCUAUAAGACUGGGAUAACUUCGGGAAACCGGAGCUAAUACCGGAUAAUAUAUUGAACCGCGUGGUUCAAUAGUGAAAGACGGUUUUGCUGUCACUUAUAGAUGGAUCCGCGCCGCAUUAGCUAGUUGGUAAGGUAACGGCUUACCAAGGCAACGAUGCGUAGCCGACCUGAGAGGGUGAUCGGCCACACUGGAACUGAGACACGGUCCAGACUCUUACGGGAGGCAGCAGUAGGGAAUCUUCCGCAAUGGGCGAAAGCCUGACGGAGCAACGCCGCGUGAGUGAUGAAGGUCUUCGGAUCGUAAAACUCUGUUAUUAGGGAAGAACAAAUGUGUAAGUAACUAUGCACGUCUUGACGGUACCUAAUCAGAAAGCCACGGCUAACUACGUG